GUCAUAGACACUCUGCGGUCGACCGAAAUUUGUUCCAUCGACCUGGCUGUUAUCAACGACGAGACGCACCUGAGAGAGAAAAGUGAGUUUCUUUCGCGCUCGAGACUACCGCUCGACUUUAAUUUUCCUGUGAGCUAUUAAUGAAACUCAGGCGGUUUACUUUGGCUGAAUAAUUAACCUGAUAACUCCAGCCGCAGUUUACAGAAGAGAGCAGACAUGAGGAGUUGAGUCGAGCAGGAGAGGAAGGAGUGCGCCUCGACCGCCAGCCUGGGACAAAACACAGAGCCACAGGUGUUUUUUUCUUUUUCACAUUCUCAUGUGAUUUUAACUGGAUAUACUUCACUGUAAUCAUGCUGGGAGCGGAGAGCAGACUGGAAAGCCGGCUGAAGAAGCUGGAGUCCCUGAUGAGGAAUCCCCAGUCGGCUCUGAACUUUGAAACCCUUCUAGAUUCCAUGAAUGCAUUGGCCCAUGAUCUGAACUAUCCUGCCCUGCGAAAGAACAAAAACAUAGAAGCUUUUCUAAACAGAUAUGAAAAGUUGGUGAGUCAGCUGCGAGAACUGCAAGUAAAGCUUGAAGACUUUGAAAAAGUGAAGCUGAUCGGGAGAGGAGCCUACGGAGAAGUGCAGCUGGUCCGUCACAAGGCCUCUCAGAAAGUUUACGCCAUGAAGCAGCUCAGCAAGUUUGAGAUGAUUAAACGGUCUGAUUCAGCCUUUUUCUGGGAGGAGAGGCACAUCAUGGCAUUUUCUAACAGUCCCUGGAUAGUCCAGCUUUGCUGUGCUUUCCAAGAUGAUCGCCACCUUUAUAUGGUGAUGGAAUUCAUGCCAGGAGGAGACCUGGUCACCCUCACCAUGAACUAUGACAUCCCAGAGAAGUGGGCUCGCUUCUACAUGGCUGAAGUGGUGCUGGCGCUGGACUCCAUCCACUCCAUGGGCUUCAUCCACCGAGAUGUUAAACCAGACAACAUGCUGCUGGACCAGCAUGGACAUCUCAAACUGGCAGACUUUGGCACUUGCAUGAAGAUGGACUCGACAGGUAUGGUGCGCUGCGACACGGCUGUAGGAACACCAGAUUACAUCUCACCUGAGGUGCUCCAAUCUCAGGGUGGUGAAGGACACUAUGGUCGAGAGUGUGACUGGUGGUCUGUAGGAGUUUUUAUCUAUGAGAUGCUAGUUGGUGAAACCCCUUUCUAUGCCGAGUCCCUCGUUGGAACUUAUGGGAAGAUCAUGAACCACCAGAACUCACUGGUCUUCCCAGAUGACAUAGAGAUGUCUCGGGAUGCUAAAGAUCUCAUCUGUGCCUUUCUCACUGACAGGAAAGUUCGCCUGGGCCGCACUGGAAUAGAUGAAAUCAAGCGUCAUCCUUUCUUUAAGAACGACCAGUGGACCUUUGACAACAUCCGUGAGACUGUGGCCCCAGUUGUGCCGGAGCUGCACGGAGACAUAGACACCAGUAACUUUGAUGACAUUGAGGAGGAUAAAGGAGAUGCUGAGACUUUUCCGCCACCCAAAGCCUUCGUGGGCAACCAGCUACCAUUUAUCGGCUUCACUUAUUUCAAGGAGGAUCAGCUGCUGAGGACAACAGGCAGUAGCUCUGUGGAGGAUUCAGAAGACUGUAAGGAGAACUCUGAGGAUAAGGAAAACUCUUUGGACAGUAAGAAAGAGCUGCAGAAAAAGCUUCAUCAGUUGGAGGAGCAGCUCGACCAUGAGAUGCAGGCCAAAGAUGAGCUGGAGCAAAAGUGCAAAAAUGCUACCAACCGUUUAGACAAGCUGGUUAAAGAGUUGGAUAAGGAGAUGAACAGCAGGCAGAGAGUUGAGGCCUCACUGAGGCAGCUGGAGCGAGAGCGAGCGUUGCUGCAGCACCAGAGUGCUGAGAGCCUCCGCAAGGUGGAGAUCGAAGCUGACAGAAAACGCAGCCUGGAGAAUGAAUUAAACAACCUGAGGGACCAGCUGGAGGAUCUGAAGAAGAGGAACCAGCACUCACAGAUCUCCAAUGACAAAAACAUCCAGCUUCAAAAACAACUCGAGGAUGUCAAUGCUGUACUUCAGUCUGAGCAGGAAGCAGUGGCGCGGCUGAAGAAGAGUCAAGCAGAGGUGCAGAAACAAGCCCAGAGCCUUGAGGUCAACCUCAAGGAGAUGCAGACAAAGUGCAGCCACCUGGAAAACAGCAAGAUGGAGCUGGAAAAGCAGCUGAGAGGCCUGCAAGCUGAGCUGGAGGAAGAGAAAAGAGACUCCAACCUCAGGACAGAAACUAUAACUGACCUGCAGGGGUGUGUCUCUGGUCUGGAAGAGGAGGUGAAAGAGGUGAAAUCCUCUCUGUCCAAAGUCCAAACUGAAAAGAAGGAGCUGCAGAAAAAACUCAAUGAUCUUGAAAAGGAAAAGAGCAACCAAGAGAUCGACCUGACGUUCAAGCUCAAGUCACUCCAUCAGAGUUUGGAGCAAGAGGAGGCAGAACACAAAGCCACCAAAGCAAAGCUGGCAGAUAAACAUACAAUCUACCAGUCCCUUGAGGAGGCGAAAUCUGAAGCUUUAAAAGAGAUGGAGUGCACCCUGCAAGAGGAGCGCAGUUUGAAGCUGCAGGUGGAGGGAAAGCUGCUGCAGCUGGAGAAGGAUCACUCCAUGCUGGACUGUGACUAUAAGCAGACACAGCAGAAGCUGGACGAGCUGCAGGCACAGAAGGAGAAACUCUCUGAAGAGGUAAUGCACCUUACCUUACGCUUGGAGAACGAGAUGCAUAAGCGGAGUUUGAACCAGAGCGAACUGAAGAUACAGAACCAGCAGGUUUCUGUGCUUCGCUCUUCAGAGAAACAGCUCAAACAGGAGCUCAACCAGCUGCUGGACAUGAAGCAGAUCCUGGAGAAACAGAACCAGGAGCUGCGCAGGGAAAAGCAAGAAGCUGAUGGCCAGUUGAAGGAGCUGAAGGACCAGCUGGAGGCACAGCAGUAUUUCACAACCCUUUACAAGACACAGGUCCGUGAGCUGAAGGAUGAGUGUAAUGAGAGGAAUAAACAGUACAAAGAAGCUCAGCGGCGACUGGCAGAAUACCAGGAGGAAAGGGAUUCUCUGGCUGCCCAGCUGGAAACCAGCUUGACCAAAGCUGAUUCUGAACACCUGGCUCGAUCCAUUGCUGAAGAGCAGUACUCUCUUUUGGAGAAGGAGAAGAUCAUGAGGGAGCUAGAGAUCAAAGAUAUGAUGGCGAGACACAAACAGGAGCUCAACGACAAGGAGGCCACCAUCACCUCGCUGGAAGAGUCCAACCGCACUCUGACAGUGGAUGUGGCCAACCUGGCCAGUGAGAAAGAAGAGCUGAACAACCAGCUAAAAGAAAUGCAGCAAAAACUCCAAAAUGCCACGGAGGAAGAAAAGGAGAUGAACUCUCUGAAAGUGAUUCUUGAGAAGCAGCUGCAGAAUGAAAAGACACUGAAAAUUCAGGCUGUGAACAAGCUAGCUGAGGUGAUGAACAAGAGAGAUCCGGGGCGGGGAGGCCAUCGAGGCACCGACACCGAGGUGCACAGGAAGGAGAAGGAGAACAGGAAACUGCAGCUGGAGCUGAGAGCAGAGAAGGAGAAAUUCAGCAGCACCAUCAUGAAGUACCAGAAGGAGCUGACGGAUAUGCAGGCGCUGAUUGCAGAAGAGAACCACAUGCGUCUGGAGCUUCAGAUGGUAUUGGACAGUAAAGAGAGCGACCUCGAGCAGCUUCGAUGCCAGCUAUCUUCUCUCAGCGUCAUCUCUCUGGACACCACCAGCAUCAGCAGUGGCAACGAUCUGGACAUUGCUGAUGGAUAUCCAGACUCCAGGCUGGAGGGCUGGAUUUCACUUCCUACCAAGAACACCAAGCGAUUUGGCUGGGACAAAAAAUAUGUUGUGGUGAGCAGCAAGAAAAUACUGUUCUACAACAGCGAAGUGGACAGAGAGCAAGCCAACCCUUUCAUGACUCUGGACAUUGAUAAGCUGUUUCAUGUCCGACCUGUCACUCAAACUGAUGUGUAUCGUGCAGAUGUCAAAGAAAUUCCAAGGAUAUUCCAGAUUCUGUAUGCCAAUGAAGGCGAAAACAAACUUCAGCAGGAAGUUGUAGUGGAGUCCGCAUCAUACAGCGAGCGCCCGUCCUACAUCAGCCACAAAGGCCACGAGUUCAUCGUCACUCUUUACCACUUCCCCACCAGCUGCGAGGCCUGCACUCGACCCUUGUGGCAAGUCUUCAAGCCUCCUCCAGCCCUCGAGUGUCGUCGCUGCCACAUUAAAUUCCACAAAGACCACCUGGACAAUAAGGAAGAAGUCAUUGUACCCUGCAAAGUGAACUACGACAUCUCCAUUGCUAAAGAGCUGCUGCUGCUGACCAGUUCUCAGAAGGAACAGCAGCGCUGGGUCAGUCACCUCCUCAAACGCAUCCCAAGAAAACACCCGGCAGUGGGUCCUCCCCCUGCAGCACAGAGCAGCCCUCACGAAUCAACUUCACGCAUGUCUCCGCGGAUUUCACCACAGCCUUCACCUAGAAAUUCUCCUCACUUGUCAGCCCAUCGCAGUGCCAUAAAGGCCCAUCCCAGCAAACAUCAGCAGACAUCUCGGAAGUCCAGCGCUGGCCCCAUGCUCCGAAUCAUCCUCCACUGACCCCUGACCUCCUCACCUUUGACCCCACUAUUCUAACGUCUCUUGCACUGGGAGACUUUAACCCCGGCUGUAUUUUCAUCUGCGUGGAUUAAUGAUGGUGGUCUGGACACAGUUGCCUACGCAUAUUAUUUGUUCACAGAAAGAAACUGACAAAAAAGCAAACGCAUCAUGGACAAACAUUCACAGAAACUGGCUGUUGUCAUGAGAACUGUGAUUGUUUUUGUGUGUUGUUUUGUUUUGUUUUUUUUCCUCUCAUUUUUUUUAAACGAGGAAAAUUAGCAGUCUUCAUAUUGAAUCUGCCUUAUUUUAUAACCACCAUCAGACUCAUUUAAAUUUGUGUUUGUGAAAUGUUAAGAGCUGUGUGUGUGUGUAUGUUUGAGCAUUUGUAUAUAAGACAGAGAGAUGUGUGCAUUGUCACGCAGAAAUUGUAGCUAAUAGAAUAUGAUUGUUUUAUUUUUUAAUGAAUAUAACUGCAGUAGAUUAUUUAGUAUACGAGUGUGCUGUAAAUGUAUGAACACAGUUUUCUGUUGUUGUAAAAGGAGAUUUUAUCCUGUUGAGCCUUGAGACCAUGGACUUGUUUCAUUACACUAAAUUUAUCCAUCACAACAUGAAUUAUGUGAUAUAAACAAAAUAAUGUGCCUCCUCUUCAUAAUUACUGAUGUUAUGAUAUGUAUGAAAUCCCAUGUGCAGGAUUUGGGGGUUAUAUAUUAAAAGAAAAAAAACAUACAAAAACUGA